rnacentral:lncRNA from 1 species
AUAUGCCAUACCAGUGUCUCCACACUCCUUGGUUAAGAGGACAACCAACUAAAUGGCAUACAACGACCUAUACUUGACAUAGCUAUUGUCCAAUUAAUAGCUUGUCAUUUGGUCGCGAACUAAUUUAAGGACUAAAUGAUAAAACCUCCUUUAUCCACUAAAUUAGUCCUAAGGAUUUCAUCACAAUACACAGGAGUUCCUAUUUGAAGAUGCAACACCUUGUGAUGAAAAGAAUGCCAGAAUAGAUUUUAUUAUUCAUUAAAUAAAACAUAUACAUUAUUCUUACAAUAAAAAUUGGCUUUGGGACACAAUUCCCAACAACUCCUACUUGAACUAAAGCCAAUUUGUACAGUAUCUAAUACCCAUCUUCGAUUUGUGAUAAUCGAACUCC